rnacentral:misc_RNA from 1 species
UUGCUUUGUUUUUUUUGCCACUCAGAAUAAAAUUUCCACUAAAACUGAUGAGUUUGGCGCUGCCGGCGGGGCCCAGCUGGCCAGGCUGGACUGCUGGCGGACGCGCCCGGAGAACCGAGACGCGCCCACCGGCAAGCCCGCCGAAGCAACGCCGCAAUGGGUAAUGUUCGCAAGGGUUGGAGCGCUAAGUCUCACUAAUGAUCCCUCCGCUGGUUCACCAACGGAGA